CCUACGGGCGGCAGUAGUGAGGAAUAUUGGUCAAUGGGCGAGAGCCUGAACCAGCCAAGUCGCGUGAAGGAUGACGGCCCUACGGGUUGUAAACUUCUUUUGUCAGGGAGCAAUUGAGUUCACGUGUGGUCCUAGCGAGAGUAGCUGAAGAAAAAGCAUCGGCUAACUCAGUGCAAGCAGCCGCGGUAAUACGGAGGAUGCGAGCGUUAUCCGGAUUUAUUGGGUUUAAAGGGUGCGUAGGCGGAAUAUCAAGUCAGCGGUAAAAAUUCGGGGCUCAACCCCGUCGUGCCGUUGAAACUGAUGUUCUUGAGUGGGCGAGAGGUAUGCGGAAUGCGUGGUGUAGCGGUGAAAUGCAUAGAUAUCACGCAGAACUCCGAUUGCGAAGGCAGCAUACCGGCGCCCAACUGACGCUGAGGCACGAAAGCGUGGGUAUCGAACAGGAUUAGAUACCCUUGUAGUC
rnacentral:rRNA from 1 species